GCUGAAGCAUUAAAGCAGCCCCAUCCAGAUCCUGGAGGGGCUGCGGUCGGGGCAAUGCAGGCUGUGUCAUCAUCACAAGAGGGUGAGACGUGCCAUGAGAUGCCACACCCACAGAAAAUGGUGCCCCAAAGGAAGUUGUUUCUUCUCACCAGAACAGCAUCCCAGACCUAUUGCAACAUUUACUAUUUUUGUUCAAGAGUCUUCACAAUCUUUGAGGAGGGUUGCUCUGGUUAGCUCAUUUGGUUAAAAGCCAAAAUAAGGGCAAUUUCACUCCCAGGUAUAUGUUCCCCAAAGAACUGAAAGCAAGGACUCAAACAGAUACUUGGACACUGACGUUCGUAGCAGCGUUAUCCACAAUGGCCGCAAAGUGGAAAGAAAUCAAAUAUCCAUCAACUGAUGAAUGAAGAACUAAAAUGUGGUAUAUCUAUACAAUGGAAUAUUACUCAGUCAUA